GAUUAUUUGACAGUAUAAUCACUGCUUCCUCCACAUGGGGUAGGAUUAGUUUCAGGACAGAGAACCCAUGUCCAAGCCAGAUUCAUAAAGGAAAAUCAUUGGAUCAAGGCUGCGCGGAAACCUACUCUAACAAUACAAUGUUAUUAUUCAGUUGUAUUCAGCUCUUUGUGACCCCGGGGACCAGACUGUCCAUGGAUCUUUUUGUUUACAAAGAUACAGAGUAGUUCACCAUUUCCUCCUCCAGUGAUAGGUUAAGUGACUUGCCCAGCAUCUCCGAGCUAGUAAAUGUCUGAUGCUAGAUAUGAACUUGGGUCUUCCUGAGUCCAGGCUCAUCACCACCCAACUGCUUUAAAUAAUAUUAUAAUUAUUGGCAAUUAUAGAUCACUUUGAGAUUUACAAAGGAAUUCACCUUCAUUAUUUUGUUUGGCUUUCAAAAUAAACCAUUUAUGGGGCAGCUAGGUGGCUCAUGGAUUGAGAGCUAGGCCUAGAGAUAGGACUUAAAUAUGGUACCGUUGCUAGCUGUGUGACCCUGGGCAAAUCACUUAACUCCCAUUGCCUAGCUCUUACCCCUCUUCUGCCUUGGAUAGAAGGAGAGAAAGAAAGAAAGAAAGAAAGAAAGAAAGAAAGAAAGAAAGAAAGAAAGAAAGAAAGAAAGAAAGAAAGAAAGAAAGAAAGAAAGAAAGAAAGAAAGAAAGAAAGAAAGAAAGAAAGAAAGAGAAGGAAGGAAGAAAGAGAAGGAAGAGAGAAGGAAGGACCUAGCCAUGAAAGCCCCUGAACUCCCAGGAUCUUCUACGCAGAGUGGCCACGAUCUUGUCAUAUUCUAGAAUUAUGUAUUAAGAGCUUGGGGGUGGGUGGGGUGCAACUAGGUGACCCAUCAGAUAGGAGGUCCUGGGUUCAAAUCUCACUUCCUAGCUGUGUGACAAUUAAUGUUGUUUUUUUUUUGGGGGGGGGAGCAAUUGAUUUAACUCCCAUUGUCUAGCCCUUACCACUCUUUUGCCUCAGAACCAAUACACAGUACUGAUUCUAAAAUGGAAGGUGAGGGUUUAAAAUAAAAAUAGCUUGAAGGGAACUUAGAGAUCA
rnacentral:lncRNA from 1 species